GAUGGUGCUUGCACCUGAUUGACGAUGGAUCACCAGUGAGUGGCGGACGGGUGAGUAACACGUAGGUAACCUGCCCCGGAGCGGGGGAUAACAUUUGGAAACAGAUGCUAAUACCGCAUAACAACAAAAGCCACAUGGCUUUUGUUUGAAAGAUGGCUUUGGCUAUCACUCUGGGAUGGACCUGCGGUGCAUUAGCUAGUUGGUAAGGUAACGGCUUACCAAGGCGAUGAUGCAUAGCCGAGUUGAGAGACUGAUCGGCCACAAUGGAACUGAGACACGGUCCAUACUCCUACGGGAGGCAGCAGUAGGGAAUCUUCCACAAUGGGCGCAAGCCUGAUGGAGCAACACCGCGUGAGUGAAGAAGGGUUUCGGCUCGUAAAGCUCUGUUGUUGGAGAAGAACGUGCGUGAGAGUAACUGUUCACGCAGUGACGGUAUCCAACCAGAAAGUCACGGCUAACUACGUGCCAGCAGCCGCGGUAAUACGUAGGUGGCAAGCGUUAUCCGGAUUUAUUGGGCGUAAAGCGAGCGCAGGCGGUUGCUUAGGUCUGAUGUGAAAGCCUUCGGCUUAACCGAAGAAGUGCAUCGGAAACCGGGCAACUUGAGUGCAGAAGAGGACAGUGGAACUCCAUGUGUAGCGGUGGAAUGCGUAGAUAUAUGGAAGAACACCAGUGGCGAAGGCGGCUGUCUGGUCUGCAACUGACGCUGAGGCUCGAAAGCAUGGGUAGCGAACAGGAUUAGAUACCCUGGUAGUCCAUGCCGUAAACGAUGAGUGCUAGGUGUUGGAGGGUUUCCGCCCUUCAGUGCCGGGAGCUAACGCAUUAAGCACUCCGCCUGGGGAGUACGACCGCAAGGUUUGAAACUCAAAGG
rnacentral:rRNA from 1 species